AUUGAACGCUGGCGGCAUGCUUUACACAUGCAAGUCGAACGGUAACAGGCCGCAAGGUGCUGACGAGUGGCGAACGGGUGAGUAAUGCAUCGGAACGUGCCCAGCCGUGGGGGAUAACUACUCGAAAGAGUAGCUAAUACCGCAUACCAUCUAUGGAUGAAAGCGGGGGACCGUAAGGCCUCGCGCGAUUGGAGCGGCCGAUGUCAGAUUAGGUAGUUGGUGGGGUAAAGGCUCACCAAGCCAACGAUCUGUAGCUGGUCUGAGAGGACGACCAGCCACACUGGGACUGAGACACGGCCCAGACUCCUACGGGAGGCAGCAGUGGGGAAUUUUGGACAAUGGGCGCAAGCCUGAUCCAGCAAUGCCGCGUGCAGGAAGAAGGCCUUCGGGUUGUAAACUGCUUUUGUACGGAACGAAACGGCUCUGGUUAAUACCCGGGGCUAAUGACGGUACCGUAAGAAUAAGCACCGGCUAACUACGUG
rnacentral:rRNA from 1 species